GGGGAAUAUUGCGCAAUGGGGGAAACCCUGACGCAGCGACGCCGCGUGAGCGAAGAAGGCCUUAGGGUCGUAAAGCUCUGUUUUAAGGGACGAAUGUUCAGGAGAGUAACUGCUUUUGAAAUGACGGUACCUUAAGAGUAAGCCCCGGCUAACUACGUGCCAGCAGCCGCGGUAAGACGUAGGGGGCGAGCGUUGUCCGGAAUUACUGGGCGUAAAGAGCACGUAGGCGGGACCUUAAGUCAGGUGUGAAAGACCGUGGCUCAACCACGGGGUUGCACAUGAAACUGGGGUUCUUGAGGGCAGGAGAGGAAAGUGGAAUUCCUGGUGUAGCGGUGAAAUGCGUAGAAAUCAGGAGGAACACCGGUGGCGAAGGCGACUUUCUGGACUGACCCUGACGCUGAGGUGCGAAAGCGUGGGUAGCAAAC
rnacentral:rRNA from 1 species